rnacentral:rRNA from 1 species
GAUAUGAACUCUCCGAAAAAAUUACGCUGUUAUCCCUAAGGUAAGUUAAUCUUAUAAUCAAAAAUUCUGGAUCAAAAAAACAUAAAUUAAUGAAUAAAAUAUUAAAAGUUAAAUAAAUUUUAAUGUCACCCCAACAAAACUUUAUAUUCUAAAAAAUUAUUUAAUAAACAAAAAAUAAUAAUUAAUAAAUAAAGUAAACUUCUAUAGGGUCUUCUCGUCCUAUAAAAAAAUUUUAGCUUUUUAACUAAAAAAUUAAAUUCAAAAUAAUUGAAAAAAGAAAGUUUAUUUUUCAUCAAACCAUUCAUACUAGCCUUCAAUUAAAAGACAAAUGAUUAUGCUACCUUCGUACAGUUAAAAUACCGCAGCCUUUUAAUUUAUAAAAAUCAAUGGGCAGGUCUGAUCUUAAAUUAAAAUCAAAAGACC